rnacentral:rRNA from 1 species
CCUACGGGGCGCUGCAGUGAGGAAUAUUGGUCAAUGGGCGGGAGCCUGAACCAGCCAAGUCGCGUGAGGGAUGACGGCCCUAUGGGUUGUAAACCUCUUUUUCCGGGGAGCAAAGUGACGCACGUGUUCGGUUUGGAGAGUACCCGGAGAAAAAGCAUCGGAUAACUCCGUGCCAGCAGCCGCGGUAAUACGGAGGAUGCGAGCGUUAUCCGGAUUUAAUGGGUUUAAGGGGUGCGUAGGCGGACGCUUAAGUCAGCGGGAAAAUGUCGGGGCUAAACCGCGUCGAGCCGUUGACACUGGGUGCCUUGAGUGGGCGAGAAGUUCGUGGAAUGCGUGGUGUAGCGGUGAAAGGCAUAGAUAUCACGCAGAACUCCAAUUGCGAAGGCAGCGUACCGGCGCCCAACUGACGCUGAGGCACGAAGGCGUGGGUAUCGAACAGGAUUAGAUACCCUUGUAGUC